AGAGUUUGAUCCUGGCUCAGGAUGAACGCUGGCGGCGUGCUUAACACAUGCAAGUCGAACGGGAAAUAUUUCAUUGAGACUUCGGUGGAUUUGAUCUAUUUCUAGUGGCGGACGGGUGAGUAACGCGUGGGUAACCUGCCUUAUACAGGGGGAUAACAGUCAGAAAUGGCUGCUAAUACCGCAUAAGCGCACAGAGCUGCAUGGCUCAGUGUGAAAAACUCCGGUGGUAUAAGAUGGACCCGCGUUGGAUUAGCUUGUUGGUGGGGUAACGGCCCACCAAGGCGACGAUCCAUAGCCGGCCUGAGAGGGUGAACGGCCACAUUGGGACUGAGACACGGCCCAGACUCCUACGGGAGGCAGCAGUGGGGAAUAUUGCACAAUGGGGGAAACCCUGAUGCAGCGACGCCGCGUGAAGGAAGAAGUAUCUCGGUAUGUAAACUUCUAUCAGCAGGGAAGAUAGUGACGGUACCUGACUAAGAAGCCCCGGCUAACUACGUGCCAGCAGCCGCGGUAAUACGUAGGGGGCAAGCGUUAUCCGGAUUUACUGGGUGUAAAGGGAGCGUAGACGGUGUGGCAAGUCUGAUGUGAAAGGCAUGGGCUCAACCUGUGGACUGCAUUGGAAACUGUCAUACUUGAGUGCCGGAGGGGUAAGCGGAAUUCCUAGUGUAGCGGUGAAAUGCGUAGAUAUUAGGAGGAACACCAGUGGCGAAGGCGGCUUGCUGGACGGUAACUGACGUUGAGGCUCGAAAGCGUGGGGAGCAANACAGGAUUAGAUACCCUGGUAGUCCACGCCGUAAACGAUG
rnacentral:rRNA from 1 species